GUGACCUUUAACGGAUCCGGUUGCAUUUUUUACUGACGGAAACCAACGUGCUCGUCCUAGAAGUGUGUGAACACAUCCGAACUCACGUGCUUCAAAUCUGCGUUGUUCUUGCCAAUCUGACACUUCUUUUCUAUCACUAUACCAACGUUCAACUGUUUCCUUUGCUUCCUUUACAGAUACCUUCCAAUCGCGAGAGAGUCCAA
rnacentral:misc_RNA from 1 species